AUUUAAAAAGUCGUUGCAUUAGUUUGAUCUAUUGCAACGCCUUUACUGAUCUAAUGCAACAUUGUGGUUGGGAGCGUUGCACUAGACUUCCCUUUGUAAUGGAAAGGAAUCAACCGUUGCAUUAGCCCAUCCUACUGCGACGGUUCCACGCAAACUGUUGCGUAAACCCAUUUUCAAUCGUUGCAUUUGAUCAGAAAUGUAGUAUCAAGACCAUUUGAUCAGGUAUAACCCUACCAUCAGUGCUUUUGAUUUUUCAUAUCAAUUGACAUAGCUGAAGCAUGAUAGUAAUUUCUUUUUUUCAAAAAAAAAGCAUGAUAACAAUUAGUAAGAAGGUUAGUCACCCUUUCUUCCAUGAGAUCUCCUUAGCAAUAUAUAUGCCUUGGAUAGUUGGAUGGCUUCUACUAUGGAAUUAUUGUAGGUUUUUAUCUAUGCAUGCACAUCUUUUUACAAUUUUAAUAAGUUAGCUCUAUGUAUCAUCUAGUUAAACGUUGCAGCAUGAGUUAUCUGUACACUCACUGCGUAAGGUGAAACUCUGUUCUUGCGUAUAGAUCAUAUUAAUUUAACACCUUGUUUGAUAUAUCUUGAAUUCCUAUUAUUUGAAAUUUUUAGUAAUGGCUGGUGCUUUCAUGACUUGGUUAUAAAUGUGAUUGUCAUCUGGCAGAAUAAGCUAGUUUGAAUUAUAUUUACUCCAGUUAAAACUGAAUGUGGACUGAAAAAGGAAUCAAGUGGUUGGCAUCGUCCUUGAUAACAUGAUGACUGAAAGCCAAGCUGAAUAUGAGUGAUUAUCACCAAUACUGCUCUGCAUGGCUCUCAACUGAUCGACGUUAAUGCUAAAAUAGUUGGCCGGAUUUGGCUAUUUAUUGGUUGUUGAUGAUAUUGAAUGCACCCAGGACUAUUAUUAGGAUUCUACAAAGUGAAGGUGUUGUUCCAUUUUCCCAGCAACUUAUUGCGACUAAAAGAGCUUGGUGUGCAUGGCGUGAUUACUUUAAUUGAGCUUGGUGCACACUUUUUCUGGCUACUAGUUAGAUAUAGGAUUCUUGCUCCUGUAUCUUAUUGCUGUAACUUUCUUGAUGCAAAUAAAUGAUCUCUGUUUAUGAAAAAUAAUGUGAUGUUUGUCCUUUUCUCUUUGUUCGAA